GGUACCUUUCUUGGCUGAUCCCUUUCGCUUUAUGGCGUGCUCGUUUGGGUUGGGCGUCGGCUAAGAGUGCUCGGAGCGUCGAUUAACUCCAGUCUCCAAUCAGGUAAUCCCUAAGCUUAGAUGGUUUGGAGCUGCGAGGGACUCGGAGAUGGCCACACUACUAUUUCUGUUUCUUUUAACUGCAAUAAGUAGCCGACUUAUUUCUUUAUAAAUUUUAUCUUAUUAAUAUUAUUAUUUGGUUUUGGGGUGUAAUAAGGCCAUUUUAAUUAUUUUUUAGGGAUUAUUUUAUCUUUUACCCUAUAUUUUUCUAAUAACAAUAUGAGUUAGACCUA